rnacentral:tRNA from 1 species
GGGCCUGUAGCUCAGUUGGUUAGAGCCGUCGACUCAUAAUCGAACGGUCGCCGGUUCAAAUCCGGCCGGGCCCACCA